UAUUCUUAAAUAAUGUUUUCAAUAAUAAUUUAUGAUUUAUAAAGUGAAAAUAUAAAAAAAAAAUUAUAAUUUUAUAAAAAAUAAUUUUUGAUUUUUUUUUCCGUAUUGCCAUGUUACACUUUUAGGGGUCGCUUUAAUCGUCACGUGAUAAUUGUAGCAGACGACCUAGAAGCAGAACAAAGCGGCUAUCUUCGUUAUCUGAGAUUAAUUAUUCUUUUGUCUCCCUUUUUUUUAAAAAUAACUGGACUUUAAUCGUUCAUUAAGAUGAAUUUAAGGAAAAUUUUCAAAGCUUUUAUUAUCAGCAGCAGUUUAAAAUUAAUGAAUUGUUAUUUAUCAACGUAACAGUUUAAAAGAAAAUAAACACGCGUGGUGAAUGAAUAAAUUCAAUGAUAUACAGUCUAAUGGAUGGCAUAGGUUUGGUGGAGAAAGACACCAGAAGUGUUUGGUAAUCUUAUCACUUUCAAUCACUUCAGUAACAUCAGGAAAUUUUGUAACAUUGGAAUUUCGUUAUCUCCAAAUAAUUCACAGAAUUAAGAAUC